rnacentral:lncRNA from 1 species
UCUCUCACCCGUGGCGUAUCCUGAACGGGUUGUCAUUCAUAUCUGGAAAACAGACUUACUAAUUAGAGGAAUUAAUCUCAGUUUUCACAAGUGAACGUUUUAUAUCGACACAUGGAUAUGGAGCGACGUGGAAUCUUCUGAAUUUGACGCAGUACUAGAUUUACUCUGUGGGAGAUGCGCGAGCUAUGAGUCUCCUGUAAAGCUAGCCUCCUGUCUACUGGCUUAUGGAUCCAUCCAGAAAUCCAUGUUGGUGAUGCCAUACUUCCGUGUAAGCCUCGCGGCGAGAACUCCACAUAACCACCGUUUCCACCUUCUCGUUUCCGUUGAGCGCAGUGCAGUGGCGAGCUGAGGGUCUCUUUCGUUACUUCCUUCCUGGCGUCCCACUUCUUCUGGCAGGAGGAGGAGGAGAAGAGAAGGACGAGUGGGAGCUGAGCUGCUGGAGGAUAAGACAUGGUUGGAGGAGUGAACUCAGAGCAGAUGGCUGUGGAAAACACCUACCACACAACGAAGAAGAACCUAUUGGACUCACUAAUGGACGUUUCUGGAUCAUGAUCUGCCGGAUAUUUAUUAAAUGUUUUCACAUACCUUUUUUAUAA